rnacentral:misc_RNA from 1 species
AAAAAAAAAUGGACACUGAAUUUUUUCUGUCCUCCUGUCAACAGCUGCGCUUGAGGGGACUACAUCCCUCCCCCUUUUACAACAUCUCUAUUUUAAGAGAGGAAUUGAUAACAUUCAACCGCAAAUAUUAAUACAGAAUACAUGACAUUUACAAACCAAACUUUUUUGGUCUCAAAUAAGUGGAAGAGCCUUGUCGCAGCCCUGGCAUAGAGACUUGCUGCUGCUGCUUUGCCCUCUUUUGCCUUUCCCUUUCCUUGCUCUCUUUC